rnacentral:rRNA from 1 species
CGCACGGGUGAGUAACGCGUAUGCAACCUGCCUAUAAGAGGGGGAUAGCCUUUCGAAAGAAAGAUUAAUACCGCAUAAUACUAUUUACCUGCAUGGGUAAAUAGUUAAACUAUUUGGCUUAUAGAUGGGCAUGCGUUCCAUUAGAUAGUUGGUGAGGUAACGGCUCACCAAGUCAGCGAUGGAUAGGGGUUCUGAGAGGAAGGUCCCCCACACUGGUACUGAGACACGGACCAGACUCCUACGGGAGGCAGCAGUGAGGAAUAUUGGUCAAUGGGCGAGAGCCUGAACCAGCCAAGUCGCGUGAAGGAUGAAGGUCUUAUGGAUUGUAAACUUCUUUUAUAAGGGAAUAAAAAAGAUCACGUGUGGUCUAUUGCAUGUACCUUAUGAAUAAGCAUCGGCUAACUCCGUGCCAGCAGCCGCGGUAAUACGGAGGAUGCGAGCGUUAUCCGGAUUUAUUGGGUUUAAAGGGUGCGUAGGCGGUUUAUUAAGUCAGUGGUGAAAGUUUUCGGCUCAACCGGAAAAUUGCCAUUGAAACUGAUAGACUUGAGUGUAAACGAGGUAGGCGGAAUUCGUGGUGUAGCGGUGAAAUGCUUAGAUAUCACGAAGAACUCCAAUUGCGAAGGCAGCUUACUAGGCUACAACUGACGCUGAAGCACGAAAGCGUGGGGAUCAAACAGGAUUAGAUACCCUGGUAGUCCACGCAGUAAACGAUGAUAACUAGCUGUUUGCGAUACACAGUAAGCGGCACAGCGAAAGCGUUAAGUUAUCCACCUGGG